AAAGGAAUUGACGGGACUCCGCACAAGCGGUGGAUCAUGUUGUUUAAUUCGAAGAUACACGAAAAACCUUACCAGGUCUUGACAUACUCUGCAAAGCUAUAGAAAUAUAGUGGAGGUUAUCAGGGAUACAGGUGGUGCAUGGUUGUCGUCAGUUCGUGUCGUGAGAUGUUAGGUUAAGUCCUAAAACGAACGCAACCCCUGUCGCUAGUUGCCAGCACGUAAUGGUGGGGACUUUAGCGAGACUGCCAAUUAAACAUUGGAGGAAGGUGGGGAUAACGUCAAAUCAUCAUGCCCCUUAUGAUCUGGGCUACAAACGUGAUACAAUGGCUAUUACAAAGAGUAGCUGAAACGCGAGUUUUUAGCCAAUCUCAAAAAGGUAGUCUCAGUACGGAUUGAAGUCUGCAACUCGACUUCAUGAAGCUGGAAUCGCUAGUAAUCGCGAAUCAGCAUGUCGCGGUGAAUACGUUCUCGGGGUUUGUACACACCGCCCGUCAAACCACGAAAGUUAGCAAUACCCGAAAGCAGUGGCUUAACUUCGCAAGAAGAGGGAGCUGUCUAAGGUAGGGUUGAUGAUUGGGGUUAAGUCGUAACAAGGUAUCCUUACCGGAAGGUGAGGAUGGAUCACCUCCUU
rnacentral:rRNA from 1 species